GGGCCCGUAGCUCAGCCUGGUUAGAGCGCCGGUCUUAUAAGCCGGAGGUCGUUGGUUCAAAUCCUAUCGGGCCCA
rnacentral:tRNA from 1 species